GAUGAACGCUGGCGGCGUGCCUAAUACAUGCAAGUCGAGCGGACGGACGAUAAUCUUGCUUCUCUGGUGUUAGCGGCGGACGGGUGAGUAACACGUGGAUAACCUACCUAUAAGAGUGAGAUAACUUCGGGAAACCGUAGCUAAUGCCGGAUAAUAUUUUGAACCGCAUGGUUGAAAAGUUAAAGCCGUUCUUGCUGUCACUUCUAGCUGGAAUCUCGCUGGAUUGGCUAGUUGGUAACGUAACGGCUUCCUAUAGCAACGAUGCAUAGCCGGCCUGAGAGGGGGUAGGGGGACACUGGGAGUGAGCGGCGAUCCUGGGUCCUAGAGGAGGCAGCGGUAGCGAAUCGUGCGAAAUGGGGGGAAGCUUGACGGAGCAGCGCAGCGCGGGUGAUGAAGGUCUUCGGAGCGGAAGACUGUGUUAGGAGUGUAGAAUCUAUGCGUAAGGGACUGAGCACAUCGUGACGGUACCUAAACAGAAAGCCACGGCUAACUACGUG
rnacentral:rRNA from 1 species